rnacentral:rRNA from 1 species
AAGGAAGGCGUAACAAGGUUUCCGUAGGUGAACCUGCGGAAGGAUCAUUGUCGAAACCUGCAAAAGCAGACCGCGAACUUGUUAAACCACUCGGGAACUAGGCAAGAUGGAAACGUCGUGCCGAGUCCCCUUCCCGCGCACUUGCGUUUGAUCUCAAGCGCUCGUGCUGCUGGCUAACGAACCCCGGCGCGGCAUGCGCCAAGGAAUACUCACAGAAGCGUCCGCCUUCGUCGCCCCGUACUCGGUGAUCGAUGUUGGUAGGUACGUCUCUCUAAGUCUAAACGACUCUCGGCAACGGAUAUCUCGGCUCUCGCAUCGAUGAAGAACGUAGCGAAAUGCGAUACUUGGUGUGAAUUGCAGAAUCCCGUGAACCAUCGAGUCUUUGAACGCAAGUUGCGCCCGAAACCAUUCGGUUGAGGGCACGUCUGCCUGGGCGUCACGCAUCGCGUCGCCCCUCAUCUCCCUCCCGUCCACGCACGGCGAUCGAGUUUGGGGGCGGAUAUUGGCCCCCCGUGCACCUACGUACGCGGUCGGCCUAAAUCAGAACCCGCGGCGGCUCGCGUCACGAUCAGUGGUGGUUGAACACUCAACUCUCGUGCUAUCGCGUCGAAUGCAGUCGCACGUCGGGCGUCUUAAGAAACCCAACGGCUCGUUUCGAUCGAGCUUUCGACCGCGACCCCAGGUCAGGCGG